rnacentral:lncRNA from 1 species
GUGAUACAUGAAUGUAUCCAGCCCUACAUCUUGAUCCAACUGGUGACUUCCCAGUUAUGAUUUUUAAAAACUUUGUUCCUUAAAUCAUUUAUAGUAUCACUGAAAUGAAAGGAACUCACCAUUGACUUUAAACAUUUUAAUUAAAAAAUUAGAAAAAUUCUUUUGAAUAGCUAUUUGGAAUGAGUUUAAAGUUCAUGAAAGAAAAGUUUGUAUCUCAGCACUAUUCCUAUCAAGCUACCAAUAUCAUUUUUUCACAGAAAGAGAAAAAAACUUUUCUAAAAUGCAAAAAUAUUAAUAGGAAGGGCCAAACAGAGGAUAUAUAGAUUAGAAUGAAAAUAACCCAAACUGGCACUAAUAAUAAAAGUGCAUUUGCU